rnacentral:misc_RNA from 1 species
GGAACUUACCCAACUGGAUAAAGAAGCGUGAAAUAUGCGAGUUCUUUCGCCAGUUUGGUCCCAUAAAAAACGUAAUCUUGAUCAGAGGACACAAUGAAACCGAAAGGAAUGCUGGGUUUGGGUUUAUUAUCUAUGAUGGUCCAACAGCAGCAAAGUCUGCCAUGAAAGCUGAGGAGUUUGAUGGAAUGGAGUUCCAUGGAAGGGUUCUUACUGUGAAAUUGGACGAUGGGAGAAGAUUGAAGGCUAAAGCGGAGGAAAGAAGGCGGUGGGUGCAAGGGGAGGAUGGGGAUGAUUAUAGGUCCAGGUGGCAUGAAGAAAGAGAGGGGUACAGAAAGGCGUUUCGGAGGGUUCUGGAGACGCAGCCAGAGAAUUGGCAGGCG